rnacentral:misc_RNA from 1 species
GAUGAAGAACGUAGCGAAAUGCGAUAAGUAAUGUGAAUUGCAGAAUUCAGUGAACCAUCGAAUCUUUGAACGCACAUUGCGCCCGGCAGUAAUCUGCCGGGCAUGCCUGUCCGAGCGUCAUUUCUGCCCUCGAGCGAGUCCAGCAUCUAGGUGCUGGGCCCGCCCGGCGUUGGGGCACUACGGGAAGCCCUGUGCUGUCCCCCGUAGGCCCCGAAAUGAAGUGGCGGUCCUGCCGCGGCGCCCCCUGCGUAGUAUAACAGCUCGCUUCGGGACCCGGUGGAGGCCUGCCGUCAAACCUUACUCUCUAAGUUUGACCUCGGAUCAGGUAGGGUUACCCGGUGAACUUAAGCAUAUCAAUAAGCGGAGGA